rnacentral:snRNA from 1 species
AUUCUCUGGUUUCCUUCAGAUAGUAUAAAUCUUUUACCUUUUACUAAAGAUUUCUGUGGAGAGGAACAGUUAUGAGUUUGUAAGGUCCUACUUCAGUUUUGAGGUCCUACUUCAGCAGUAA